AUUGAACGCUGGCGGCAGGCCUAACACAUGCAAGUCGAACGAGUGGCGGACGGGUGAGUAAUGUCUGGGAAACUGCCCGAUGGAGGGGGAUAACUACUGGAAACGGUAGCUAAUACCGCAUACCAUCGGAUGUGCCCAGAUGGGAUUAGCUAGUAGGUGGGGUAACGGCUAACCGAGGCGACGCUCCCUAGCUGGUCUGAGAGGAUGACCAGCAACACGGGACAUGAGACACGGUCCAGAGUCCUACGGGAGGCAGCAGUGGGGAAUAUUGCACAAUGGGCGCAAGCCUGAUGCAGCAAUGCCGCGUGUAUGAAGAAGGCCUGCGGGUUGUAAAGUACUUUCAGCGAGGAGGCGUUACUCGCAGAAGAAGCACCGGCUAACUCCGUGCCAGCAGCCGCGGUAAUAC
rnacentral:rRNA from 1 species